AGAGUUUGAUCAUGGCUCAGAAUGAACGCUGGCGGCGUGCUUAACACAUGCAAGUCGAACGAUGAAGCUUAGUUUACUAAGUGGAUUAGUGGCGCACGGGUGAGUAAUAUAUAGGUAACGUGCCUCUUAGUCUGGGAUANCCANUGGAAACGAUGAUUAAUACUGGAUACUCCUUCUCUUUAUAAUAAGAGUUGGGAAAGUUUUUCGCUAAGAGAUCGGCCUAUAUCCCAUCAGUUAGUUGGUAAGGUAACGGCUUACCAAGGCAAUGACGGGUAGCGGGUNUGAGAGGAUGAUCCGCCACACUGGUACUGAGACACGGACCAGACUCCUACGGGAGGCAGCAGUGAGGAAUAUUGCACAAUGGAGGAAACUCUGAUGCAGCAACGCCGCGUGGAGGAUGACGCAUUUCGGUGUGUAAACUCCUUUUAUAUGUCAAGAAAAUGACGGUAGCAUAUGAAUAAGCACCGGCUAACUCCGUGCCAGCAGCCGCGGUAAUACGGAGGGUGCAAGCGUUAUUCGGAAUCACUGGGCGUAAAGGACGCGUAGGCGGGAAAGCAAGCCUGAUGUGAAAUCCUAUGGCUCAACCAUAGAACUGCAUUGGAAACUGCUUACCUAGAGUAUGGGAGGGGGAGAUGGAAUUAGUGGUGUAGGGGUAAAAUCCGUAGAUAUCACUAGGAAUACCGAAAGCGAAGGCGAUCUCCUGGAACAAUACUGACGCUAAGGCGUGAAAGCGUGGGGAGCAAACGGGAUUAGAUACCCCGGUAGUCCACGCCCUAAACGAUGAACACUAGUCGUCGGAAUGCUAGUCAUUUCGGUGAUGCACUUAACAGAUUAAGUGUUCCGCCUGGGGAGUACGGUCGCAAGAUUAAAACUCAAAUGAAUUGACGGA
rnacentral:rRNA from 1 species